AUUGAACGCUGGCGGCAUGCCUUACACAUGCAAGUCGAACGGCAGCAUGAUCUAGCUUGCUAGAUUGAUGGCGAGUGGCGAACGGGUGAGUAAUACAUCGGAACGUGCCCUGUAGUGGGGGAUAACUAGUCGAAAGAUUAGCUAAUACCGCGUACGACCUGAGGGUGAAAGUGGGGGACCGCAAGGCCUCAUGCUAUAGGAGCGGCCGAUGUCUGAUUAGCUAGUUGGUGAGGUAAAGGCUCACCAAGGCGACGAUCAGUAGCUGGUCUGAGAGGACGAUCAGCCACACUGGGACUGAGACACGGCCCAGACUCCUACGGGAGGCAGCAGUGGGGAAUUUUGGACAAUGGGCGAAAGCCUGAUCCAGCAAUGCCGCGUGUGUGAAGAAGGCCUUCGGGUUGUAAAGCACUUUUGUCCGGAAAGAAAUGGCUCUGGUUAAUACCUGGGGUCGAUGACGGUACCGGAAGAAUAAGGACCGGCUAACUACGUG
rnacentral:rRNA from 1 species